rnacentral:rRNA from 1 species
GACGAACGCUGGCGGCGUGCCUAACACAUGCAAGUCGAACGGAGCACCCUUGACAGCGGCUUCGGCCAAUGGAUAGGAAUGCUUAGUGGCGGACGGGCGAGUAACGCGUGAGCAACCUGCCCUUCAGAGGGGAUAACGUUCUGAAAAGAACGCUAAUACCGCAUGAUGCAUUCUGGGGACAUCCCCGGGAUGCCAAAGGAGCAAUCCGCUGAAGGAUGGGCUCGCGUCCAAUUAGGUAGUUGGUGAGGUAACGGCCCACCAAGCCGACGAUUGGUAGCCGAACUGAGAGGUUGAUCGGCCGCAUUGGGACUGAGACACGGCCCAGACUCCUACGGGAGGCAGCAGUGGGGGAUAUUGCGCAAAUGGGGAAACCCUGACGCAGCAACGCCGCGUGAAGGAAGAAGGUCUUCGGAUUGUAAACUUUUGUCUUGUGGGAAGAUAAUGACGGUACCACAGGAGGAAGCUCCGGCUAAACUAACGUGCCAGCCGCCGCAGUAAU